ACAUCACAUUGAAACUCCGGUUCCCGUACGAACACUGAAGUUAAGCAACGUUGAGCUUGGAUGGAUGACCGCUUGGGAAUAUCAGGUGUUGUGA